UACGUAGGGUGCAAGCGUUGUCCGGAAUUAUUGGGCGUAAAGAGCUCGUAGGCGGUUUCUUAAGUCUGUCGUGAAAGCCCUGGGCUCAACCUGGGAAUGGCGAUGGAUACUGGGAGGCUAGAGUGUGAUAGAGGAUGGUGGAAUUCCCGGUGUAGCGGUGAAAUGCGCAGAUAUCGGGAGGAACACCGGUGGCGAAGGCGGUUCUCUGGGCCUUACCUGACGCUGAGGAGCGAAAGCGUGGGGAGCGAACAGG
rnacentral:rRNA from 1 species